rnacentral:rRNA from 1 species
CCUACGGGUGAGCUGCAGUGGGGAAUAUUGCACAAUGGGGGAAACCCUGGUGCAGCGACGCCGCGUGAGUGAAGAAGUAUUUCGGUAUGUAAAGCUCUAUCAGCAGGGAAGAAAAUGACGGUACCUGAUUAAGAAGCCCCGGCUAACUACGUGCCAGCAGCCGCGGUAAUACGUAGGGGGCAAGCGUUAGCCGGAUUUACUGGGUGUAAAGGGAGCGUAGACGGCAGCACAAGUCUGGAGUGAAAUGCCGGGGCUUAACCCAGGAACUGCUUUGGACACUGGGCAGCUAGAGUGCAGGAGAGGUAAGUGGAAUUCCUAGUGGAGCGGUGAAAUGCGUAGAUAUUAGGAGGAACACCAGGGGCGAAGGCGGCGUACUGGACUGUAACUGACGUGGAGGCUCGAAAGCGUGGGGAGCAAACAGGAUGAGAUACCCGUGUAGUA